rnacentral:rRNA from 1 species
UAGUCCACGCCGUAAACGAUGAUUACUCGUUGUGUGCGAUAUAUUGUACGCGACUGAGCGAAAGCAUUAAGUAAUCCACCUGGGGAGUACGAUCGCAAGAUUGAAACUCAAAGGAAUUGACGGGGGCCCGCACAAGCGGAGGAACAUGUGGUUUAAUUCGAUGAUACGCGAGGAACCUUACCUGGGCUCAAACGUGCGUGACGGUACUGGAAACGGUACUUCCCUUCGGGGCACAAAACGAGGUGCUGCAUGGCUGUCGUCAGCUCGUGCCGUGAGGUGUCGGGUUAAGUCCCAUAACGAGCGCAACCCCCAUUACUAGUUGCCAGCGGAUAAUGCCGGGGACUCUAGUGAGACUGCCACCGUAAGGUGUGAGGAAGGUGGGGAUGACGUCAAGUCAGCACGGCCCUUAUGUCCAGGGCUACACACGUGUUACAAUGGUCGGUACAAAGGGCAGCUACCUGGUGACAGGAUGCUAAUCUCAAAAACUGGUCUUAGUUCGGA